rnacentral:hammerhead_ribozyme from 1 species
AUCCAGCCGAUGAGUCCCAAAUAAGACGAAACGCGAGUACUGGAU